rnacentral:rRNA from 1 species
AUUGAACGCUGGCGGCAGGCUUAACACAUGCAAGUCGAGCGGAGAGAGGUAGCUUGCUACUGAUCUUAGCGGCGGACGGGUGAGUAAUGCUUAGGAAUCUGCCUAUUAGUGGGGGACAACAUUUCGAAAGGAAUGCUAAUACCGCAUACGUCCUACGGGAGAAAGCAGGGGAUCUUCGGACCUUGCGCUAAUAGAUGAGCCUAAGUCGGAUUAGCUAGUUGGUGAGGUAAUGGCUCACCAAGGCUACGAUCAGUAGCUGGUCUGAGAGGACGGCCAGCCACAAUGGCACUGAAACACGGGCCAUACUCCUACGGGAGGCAGCAGUGGGGAAUAUUGGACAAUGGGCGCAAGCCUGAUCCAGCCAUGCCGCGUGUGUGAAGAAGGCCUUAUGGUUGUAAAGCACUUUAAGCGAGGAGGAGGCUACUUUAGUUAAUACCUAGAGAUAGUGGACGUUACUCGCAGAAUAAGCACCGGCUAACUCUGUGCCAGCAGCCGCAGUAACAC